AACCAGUUUUUGGUCCAAAUUCAAAUCGUGGCAUCGUUUAAAGGGAGCGAGCCCCACGGUUUAGAGACCAGUCUGCUGAGCGACUUGGCCAAGACCAUUGCUUGCUCUCUCAAAACUUUGUUCAUAAACUUUUAAAAACAGACAGACAGAAUGAAGUCAGUGAUCUACUCCGUGGCCGCUUUGGCCCUCGUCGGUGUCGUGGCUGCGGGUACAAAGAACGAAAUUGAUCCCUCCGGACAAUGGGCGCCCAGAUCCGGAUGGGGCGGCGGAGGUGGUGGUGGUGGGUGGGGUCAGGAUGUCUCUAGCGGCCUCAUUUUCGUCGGCCUUCCCCUCCUCUUGUUGAUCCCUCUUCUCUUCUGCCUCCCAUACUUGCUCCAUGGAGGAGGUGGUGGUGGCGGUCAUGGAGGUUGGGGGGGUGGUGGUGCCGGCGGUGGUGGGGGUGGUGGCGGCGGUGGUGGUCAUGGAGGGGGCGGUUGGGGCGGAUGGGGACGGUCGUCCGACGUCCAGCGAAAGACGGAUCAACUUACGCAGCAAAUUUUGCCAAAGUUGUCCUCUUAAGAACAUGAUGCUCUCUUUUUAGCAAAGAAGAAGAUUGUUUUAUGAAGCUUCCACACCAAAAAAGAUUGAUGAGUCUCUCUAAACUAGAUAUGUAACGCUACCUACCUCCUCCCGAAAAGACGUGACAAUUAUUUAUUCCCUCUCAAAUUUGCCCCUACUUGACGGUUACUGUUCCUCUUUAUCCUGUUCUUUUCUCUCAAUUUGAACUAAACAAAUCCGGACUUGCUCUACAACGAACCGAGGACUUGACGACCACCUAUUUUUUGAAAUUCUCCAUAAGUACUUUUACAAUGCAUGCAAACUGUUUUUUUAGUCAAGUCCUACCUACAAAACCCUGCCAUUUUAAAUCUAUCAAGAAAAUGACGACCUUAUAUAUUUCCCUGUUAAACAAUUCGGACCCCUGACUUUUUCUCUGGACGAAUUUGGUAUAAUAUUUAUUUUUGCGAGUUCUCACUCAACUCUGAAGAAAAAAAUUAAUUUAUUUGAACAAAUUGUUGUUAUAUUUUAUUUACUAAAAUUGUUGUCUAUUUUUUAUAACUGCUCAUUUAUUUGAGACAAUAAUAUAUUUUUCUAUAUAAAAAAAAAUAAAAUGAAAAAUGUUGAAUUUUGUUGCAUACGAAUACGAUACAGGAAAAGUAGAGAAGUGGAGUAGGGUUGUGAUGGAUAACGAUUUAUCAUUUCUUCUUCGUGAGAUGAGUUUUCUGUUUUGUGCGUAAAGUGCUUUUAAGGAUUCGCAUAUGAGCAUAUUUUUUAGUUGGGUGGGAAGAAGAUGAGUGCAGAUUUGGGAGAAAAUCACGGUUUAAUUGGCAUGAAAUCCGUAACUUCUUCACACAAGAGAUGACAAAUGGGUGCUGCGGAGUAGGGCCAAAGUAUGUAAAGGAAUAAGUAUAAAUGUAUUUAAUUGUCUUAAUUAUUGGGUUGUGCAGCGUGUGUAUCGUGGUUCGUUGGUUGGUUGGUGGAAUGAAAUUCAUGCUACAGGUCGACUUGACCUAGAGACUCGGCAUUAUGUGUUACGGGAAGAUGAUUAACAAAAAGGUCCAAAUACAAUUUUUGAAAAAUGAAUUUUACGAAUUUUUUGCAAAAUUUUCAAGUGCCAAGUUUAAUACGAAAUUUAGAAAUAAAUACUUAAAACACCUUGACCCAGAGACUCAUAAAGAAAAGAGAAAUAUCAGUAUUAUCUAUGUGUUACGGGAAGAUGAUAAUAAAAAGAUUGUUUCAUGAAAAUACAAUUUUGUGAAAACUAAAUAUGUAGAAACUUUUCUGCAAAGUUUUCAAUUGCCAAGUUUAAUCGGGAAUUUGUAAAUAUGUAAAUCACAAUUCCUACCGAUUUUUGAAUGUAAUUUCUGUUUGUUUUUUUUUUGGUAAAAACUGUGGUUGGCAAAGCUAUUCAGAGCGUGGAUAAGGUCACACUUGUAAUAUGAGUAGCGAUACAUAAAUAGGUACUAAUAAAAAGCCUGAAUCGCUAGUUACCACAAUUAUAAUAAUUUUAUGAAAUUUUUAAUGAUGACAUGGCACACAAAUGAGCAAAAAUUGCCUGGCUAUCAUCACACAUAUCUAGAAGGAGCUGGUGUGGUCGUUUUGGGUUGUUGGAUGCCACAAUUGUGAAGGUAAUUUUCUACAGGUGACGGUAGUGCAGACCAGGGUGAGAAGUUUAAGGGUUUCAAAAGGCUCACUUACUUUUUUAUUGAGAUGUUUUAAUAAAUGAGAAACUUUUUAGAAGAAAAGUCACUUGAGGUGUGACGAGAGGGGAGGCGCAAAGAUGGAAGAGAUGGACCAAGGAGGAAAUUACGUGGGUGCAUGCAUGGCGUGGGUAAAUACGUACGUACGGCUUAUCUUACAGUCAGGCAAGCAAUUGAAGAAUUUGCAACGAGAUGUCGACAGCGUGAAGACAUUCCGACAGAGACGGGAAAUACAUGAGAAAUGAAUUUCAGUAUGAAAUUUGCCAGCAUUUUGAAAUAUGACAGAAAUAUUGACCAAAAAAUAUGCACGUUUUCUCGAAAAUUAAUUUCUGAAAAUCGUUUCCCAACUUGAGAUUGUUUGUCUAGAUGAGAAAUAAAUCGACCUUUCUUUUUUGAUGGACAGUCUUUCACAGAGUAAAAUUCCAUCUUGCAAACGCAGAAAAAUUGAUAUUUCUAAUCAGUCAGAAAGUCUUGAAUUUGUAUGAGUUUAAAAACAAUUCAAAAUGGAAAAUAAAAUGUAUCAAAAUUUUUCCGAAAA